UCCCUGGUUGUCCAGUGGUUAAGACUCUGUGCUUCCAAUGCAAAGGGUAUGGGUUCAAUCCCUGUUCAGGGAA
rfam:TPA: Bos taurus chromosome 7, whole genome shotgun sequence.